CUCAGCAAAGAGUCGAAGUGCAAGGAAUAGAAGAUUUAUGAUAUUGAAAUUUUAGAGAGUUUCCUUUGCCUUCUAAUUCAGCCUGAGGAAAAGAGGAGAUACGCCGAUUACUUUCUUGACUGAGAGGAAUAGUCUGAUGCAUAAAAUCCUGCUUGCUCAAUAAUUUCCGCCAUUUUUGAAUUUGCU